rnacentral:rRNA from 1 species
UUGAAAGGGAAACGAUUGAAGUCAGUCGUACCAGCGGGAAAUCAACCUUUCGAGUGGGGGUUUUGGAGUUUUUUGAAGAGUGUCAAAACCUUUGAGAUUUCAAAAUAUUCGCUCUUUUGGUGUACUUUCUCGUGGGUAGGUUAACAUCGAUUUUGAUCAUCAUAAAAAGAUUGGAGGAAUGUAGCUUCGAUCUUGUAUUGAAGUGUUAUAGCCUUUGGUAAAUGUGAUGAUUAGGAUCGAGGAUUGCAACGAAUACCCUUUUGGGCUAUCCGCCUGAUCUCNGAUACGUGGCCUUGGUAUCGAAAGCUUGCUUUGGUAUUAAGGUAUUACGGUCAAAAGGUUAGAACGGAUUACAUUCGUUAAGGAUGUUGACGUA